UUGGAGGGCAAGUCUGGUGCCAGCAGCCGCGGUAAUUCCAGCUCCAAUAGCGUAUAUUAAAGUUGUUGCAGUUAAAAAGCUCGUAGUUGAAUUUCGGGAUCAAUUUGCUGGUCGUGCCUUCGGUACGCACUGGUAUUAUUGGUUUCUCCUUUCUGAUGAAUCGCGAUGUCAUUAAUUUGGUGUCGUGGGGAAUCAGGACCGUUACUUUGAAAAAAUUAGAGUGUUUAAAGCAGGCUCACGCUUGAAUACAUUAGCAUGGAAUAAUGAAAUAGGACGUUUGAUUCUAUUUUGUUGGUUUCUAGGAUCGACGUAAUGAUUAAUAGGGAUAGUUGGGGGCAUUAGUAUUCAAUUGUCAGAGGUGAUAUUCUUGGAUUUAUUGAAGACUAACUACUGCGAAAGCAUUUGCCAAGGAUGUUUUCAUUAAUCAAGAACGAAAGUUAGGGGAUCGAAGACGAUCAGAUAUCGUCGUAGUCUUAACCAUAAACUAUGCCGACUAGGGAUCGGAUGAUGUUAAUUUUUUAAUGACUCAUUCGGCGCCUUACGGGAAACCAAAGUGUUUGGGUUC
rnacentral:rRNA from 1 species